UACGGAGGGGGCGAGCGUUAUUCGGAAUUAUUGGGCGUAAAGGGCGCGUAGGCGGCCCGGUAAGUCAAAGGUGAAAUCCCUCGGCCCAACUGAGGAACUGCCUUUGAAACUGUCGGGCUUGAGGCCGGGAGGGGGUAGCGGAAUUCCCAGUGUAGCGGUGAAAUGCGUAGAUAUUGGGAGGAACACCAGUGGCGAAGGCGCUCUGCUAGGCCGUAACUGACACUGAGGGACGAAAGCUAGGGGAGCGAAUGGG
rnacentral:rRNA from 1 species